CAGACGCCCAGUGUGUGGUGAUGGGAUCCAGGGUGUGGCUACUAAAUCAGUCCGCUGAUUGGCGUGGCACCGCCCCACCCCGGAAGCCGAGAUAGAAUAUAACGGGGCAGGAAGAAGCUGCUGAGGGCUCUCGAUUGCUUUUGCUGUCUUCUGCCCCGCCCCUUAACUGUUCCCCUCUGCGAUGCCACUUGCCCCGGACCCAGCCGACUGUGGACAGAAGCCUUGCAAACUGUGAGCUGAAUAAACCUUUCCCCCUUUAACUUUGGCUGUCGGGUAUUUGUCUCAGCAGCGAGAGAAAAAUACUUAAGAAACAGAGACAGAAACACAGAGAUGCACACACACACGCACGCACGCACGCACGCACGCACGCACGCACGCACACAGCAUUCCCAGAUGGUCCCGUUCAGCGGGAACGCCUGACUUCCUGUUUUCCCGGACUGCCUUACUUCCUCUUCUGUCUUCUGUCAGCAAUUCUACACCAUGGCUUCCUCCCCAUAAACUCAAUGCCUGCGGGUCACUGAACGCGAGGCGUCCGGAGCACUUCUGAGUUGGAUCAGAGUCCAGUCAGGGGCUGGGCCCAAGGUUUGGGCUCCAGUUUUGGGGACACCACUCAGGCACAGCACUGCUGGAGUGGGGAGUGAACGCUAAUGAAGUGUGAUAGAGUGGGGACAAAUCUGCAGGCAGCAGAGACCCCUGGUGGGCUGUCUCGGCUUCUCGAGGUGGCCCUGGGGAGGCCCUCUGCGCCCACCCACCUCGCCUGGCGUUCUUUGUCUUUAAACCAGGACAUCCCCAAGAUCAUCUCUAAACAUCCUCCUCUGGCUUCUGCGAAUUGUUCCAGCUUGAUUAUAACACCGUCUCAGAAGGAGAAAUGAAAGACAGUCUGCGUUUCUCAGGAAAACGAUCAAUGAAGGAAAACGAUCAAUGAAUCAAAUUUUGUGGUUUCAUUACUGGAAACCCCGUAGUAUAGAAAAUGUAAAAAAAAAAAAAAAAAAAAAAAAAAAAAUCCCGUCCUUGAUCAAGUUGACCGGCUAAUUAACAAGACUUCCAAAUACCAUGCGGGCGGCGACAGCAACCCAAACAUUCAACCGUCCUUGGUCCCGCUAGCGGGCGGGGGUUUUCUUCUCUUCCAGGCCCGGCCUAGAAACUCAUAUUUUAUUCAUGAAAAUCUAGGCCCUGGGAGGCCUCGGCAUAAACAGGAUGUAAAUAUUUGCGGGCAGUGGGGAGCGGUGGUGUUUGAGAAGGGGCUGUCCGGAGCGGGACAUCCAGGACAAAGCUCACUGGGGGCCCGCCCACCUCCAUCACUACGCUGGGGGCCUGGUGGGCAGGGGCCGGGGAGAGCCCGGCUGGGACUCCGGGGUCCUUGAAUUGAGUCAGGAAAUGUCUCUUAACUGUCCACGAAUUUCAUUCCCCAGGUCCCUUCGUUCCCAUCUCCCCAGAUUCAAACCUGGGACUGGUUUUCUGAGAGGCUGAGGCAGGAGGGUCUCGAGUUUGAAGCAAGCAUGGACAACUUGGUGAGACCCUGCCUUGAAAUAAAAUAUGAAAAGGGUUAGGGAUGGAGCUCAGUGCAAAAGCCCUGGGUUCAAUCCCCAGUAGCAGCGGGGAGAAAAGUGUCUUUGAUUCUUCUUUGGACCCUCACCUACUUUUGUGGCCCUGGGCAUCACCUUUCCCGGGUCCUCUCUGCCUCCUUGGCUCAGCCUGGACUGGCCUUGCCCUGUGUGUACAGUGGUCUCGUUCCCCUCCACGUCUUCCUCCUGGACUUCCCUCAUUCCGGAACCCAGGGCAGCUCCACCGCCUGAGCCUGGCCUGGGAUUCAAGAAGCUGUCCCCUCCCCCACCCAGAGCCUAGACUUUCCAGUUUUAACAAUGUUCCAUCCUCCUGCCUCAGCCUCUCAGGGUGCUGACAUUAUAGGCACUCACUGACCAUUCCCAGACUAAUUUUUUUUUUUUUGUUUUUACACCUUGAG
rnacentral:lncRNA from 1 species